rnacentral:lncRNA from 1 species
AAACUUUAAAAACCCCCCCUGUAGUUUCGUAGUUUCUCACUUUACCCCCCGUGGUUUGAAAUGUAUCAAUUUACCCCCCUGUGAUUUCUUUUUUCUCUUUUUUUUAUCAAUUUUAUUAUUUUUUUUUUCUUAAAUCAGUGAUAAAGUUAAAAUUAAAAAGUACUAAAGUGAAUAUUUGAUAAAUCUAGAUGGGUAUCUGAAAUUUUUUGUAUAUAAUUUAAUGAAAUAUUAACGAAAAAGCUACCGAAAAGAUAAAAACGAAACCACAUGGGGGCAAUUUGAUACAUUUUAAACCACAGGGGGGCAAAGUGAGAAACUACGAAACCACG